CUCUGUGUUUUCUCUGUAUUUUAUCUGUUUGCAAGAGAGCAGUGUUCGCUGUUCGCUGGGGAGAUGUUUGGAUUUGCAAAUGUUUGUCAGAGGGCUGCAUGGCAGAUGCUGACACAGAAACACCUCACAGGCAUUGCUGCCUUUCGGUUCUUCUAUUUUCAGUGCUGUGACCACCAUCCAACCGUGGUGCGGGAUUGGUGGUGACCCACAUCUUGGCAGCGCUUAUGUCUGGGGAGGGUGGUAGCAGGAAAGCAAUGUCUGGAGGUGAUCGGCACAGCGCUGUGAGCGUGGUGUGAGCCUGGUUCAGGUCUUAGCAGCCCUGGGCUGGGAGGAAGGCUUCUGGGUGCAACACCCAGUGUGCAAAGGCUGCAGGAGGGAAGGGAUCCCCGCGGGGGUCUGUUCUCUGCACGCUGCCCUGGGGCACUACGUGGCCACAGCAGCUCCACACGGUGCGAUUGCCACCUACAGACCCUGCGGCUGCAUUUCGCCACUGCUGCGGGAAAAGGCGCCUGGAGCUGUGAGCUGUCUGUGUGUCUGCAGCUGUCUGUGUGUCUGCAGCUGUGUGUGUGCCUGCAGCUGUGUG
ensembl:lncRNA